rnacentral:rRNA from 1 species
ACUCCUACGGGAGGCAGCAGUGGGGAAUAUUGCACAAUGGGCGCAAGCCUGAUGCAGCAACGCCGCGUGCGGGAUGACGGCCUUCGGGUUGUAAACCGCUUUCAGUUCCGACGAAGCGCAAGUGACGGUAGGAACAGAAGAAGGACCGGCCAACUACGUGCCAGCAGCCGCGGUGAUACGUAGGGUCCGAGCGUUGUCCGGAAUUAUUGGGCGUAAAGGGCUUGUAGGCGGUUUGUCACGUCGGAAGUGAAAACUCAGGGCUCAACCCUGAGCCGGCUUCCGAUACGGGCAAACUAGAGGAAUGCAGGGGAGAAUGGAAUUCCUGGUGGAGCGGUGGAAUGCGCAGAUAUCAGGAGGAACACCGGUGGCGAAGGCGGUUCUCUGGGCAUUUCCUGACGCUGAGAAGCGAAAGCGUGGGGAGCAAACAGGCUUAGAUACCCUGGUAGUCCACGCCGUAAACGGUGGGCACUAGGUGUGGGGAACAUUCCACGUUCUCCGUGCCGAAGCUAACGCA